rnacentral:rRNA from 1 species
CGGUGUUUAACUGGCGUGAUGUGGGACGUCCUACCGGUGGGCUUAGCCUCGCGAGGGGCGGCCCAACUAAUAUCCCGUCGCGGUGCUCUUUACUGAGUGUCGAGUCGGGCCGGUACGUUUACUUUGAACAAAUUAGAGUGCUUAAAGCAGGCUAUCCUCGCCUGAAUACUGCGUGCGUGGAAUAAUGGAAUAGGACCUCGGUUCUAUUUUGUUGGUUUUCGGAACCCCGAGGUAAUGAUUAAUAGGGACAGAUGGGGGCAUUCGUAUUGCGACGUUAGAGGUGAAAUUCUUGGAUCGUCGCAAGACGGACAGAAGCGAAAGCAUUUGCCAAAAAUGUUUUCAUUAAUCAAGAACGAAAGUUAGAGGUUCGAAGGCGAUCAGAUACCGCCCUAGUUCUAACCAUAAACGAUGCCAGCUAGCGAUCCGCCGAAGUUCCUCCGAUGACUCGGCGGGCAGCUUCCGGGAAACCAAAGCUUUUGGGUUCCGGGGGAAGUAUGGUUGCAAAGCUGAAACUUAAAGGAAUUGACGGAAGGGCACCACCAGGAGUGGAGCCUGCGGCUUAAUUUGACUCAACACGGGAAACCUCACCAGGCCCAGACACCGGAAGGAUUGACAGAUUGAUAGCUCUUUCUUGAUUCGGUGGGUGGUGGUGCAUGGGCCGUUCUUAGUUGGUGGAGCGAUUUGUCUGGUUAAUUCCGAUAACGAACGAGACUCUAGCCUGCUAAAUAGGCGUACCUUAUGGUAUCGCGAAGGCCCCCGGCUUCGGCCGGUGGGUUUUUACUACCAACGUACAAACAAAUCCUCUUAGAGGGACAGGCGG